AUGGACACGAGGGUCUCCACCAAAUUUCUGUGGCUUCUGAUGCUUUGGCUCCCAGAUAAGAUGGGUGUGAGCUGUGUCUAUGAGAUGACCCAGUCUCCGUCCUCCUUGUCUGCAUACCUGGGAGACAGAGUCACCAUGACUUGCCAGGCUAGUCAGGGCAUACACACAUGGGUAGCCUGGUAUCAACAAAAAGCAGGGGAAUCUCCUAAGCUGCUGGUCUAUGGAGCAUCCAAUUUGCAACCUGGCAUUCCAUCGAGGUUCAUUGGCAGUGGAUCUGAGAGAGAUUUCACUCUCACCAUCAGCAGCCUGGAGCCUGAAGACACUGCAACUUACUACUGUGCACAGUAUAGCAUCGGGUAUACCACAGUGAUAGAAGUCAUAACAUAA